GAUGAACGCUGGCGGCGUGCCUAAUACAUGCAAGUCGAGCGAACGGACGAGAAGCUUGCUUCUCUGAUGUUAGCGGCGGACGGGUGAGUAACACGUGGAUAACCUACCUAUAAGACUGGGAUAACUUCGGGAAACCGGAGCUAAUACCGGAUAAUAUUUUGAACCGCAUGGUUCAAAAGUGAAAGACGGUCUUGCUGUCACUUAUAGAUGGAUCCGCGCUGCAUUAGCUAGUUGGUAAGGUAACGGCUUACCAAGGCAACGAUGCAUGGCCGACCUGAGAGGGUGAUCGGCCACACUGGAACUGAGACACGGUCCAGACUCCUACGGGAGGCAGCAGUAGGGAAUCUUCCGCAAAGGGCGAAAGCCUGACGGAGCAACGCCGCGUGAGUGAUGAAGGUCUUCGGAUCGUAAAACUCUGUUAUUAGGGAAGAACAAAUGUGUAAGUAACUGUGCACAUCUUGACGGUACCUAAUCAGAAAGCCACGGCUAACUACGUG
rnacentral:rRNA from 1 species